GAUAAUACCGCAUAAGCGCACAGUACCGCAUGGUACGGUGUGAAAAACUCCGGUGGUGUGAGAUGGACCCGCGUCUGAUUAGCUAGUUGGUGAGGUAACGGCCCACCAAGGCGACGAUCAGUAGCCGGCCUGAGAGGGUGUACGGCCACAUUGGGACUGAGACACGGCCCAAACUCCUACGGGAGGCAGCAGUGGGGAAUAUUGCACAAUGGGGGAAACCCUGAUGCAGCGACGCCGCGUGAGUGAUGAAGUAUUUCGGUAUGUAAAGCUCUAUCAGCAGGGAAGAUAAUGACGGUACCUGACUAAGAAGCACCGGCUAAAUACGUGCCAGCAGCCGCGGUAAUACGUAUGGUGCAAGCGUUAUCCGGAUUUACUGGGUGUAAAGGGUGCGUAGGUGGCGCAGCAAGUCAGAAGUGAAAACUAUGGGCUCAACCCAUAGACUGCUUUUGAAACUGCAGUGCUAGAGUGCAGGAGAGGAAAGUGGAAUUCCUAGUGUAGCGGUGGAAUGCGUAGAUAUUAGGAGGAACACCAGUGGCGAAGGCGACUUUCUGGACUGUUACUGACACUGAGGCACGAAAGC
rnacentral:rRNA from 1 species